rnacentral:rRNA from 1 species
GACGAACGCUGGCGGCGUGCUUAACACAUGCAAGUCGAACGGAAAGGCCCUGCUUGCAGGGUACUCGAGUGGCGAACGGGUGAGUAACACGUGGGUGAUCUGCCCUGCACUUCGGGAUAAGCCUGGGAAACUGGGUCUAAUACCGGAUAGGAGCCAUUUUUAGUGUGAUGGUUGGAAAGUUUUUUCGGUGUAGGAUGAGCUCGCGGCCUAUCAGCUUGUUGGUGGGGUAAUGGCCUACCAAGGCGGCGACGGGUAGCCGGCCUGAGAGGGUGGACGGCCACAUUGGGACUGAGAUACGGCCCAGACUCCUGCGGGAGGCAGCAGUGGGGAAUAUUGCACAAUGGGCGCAAGCCUGAUGCAGCGACGCCGCGUGGGGGAUGACGGCCUUCGGGUUGUAAACUCCUUUCGCUAGGGACGAAGCUUUUUGUGACGGUACCUAGAUAAGAAGCACCGGCUAACUACGUG